CUCCAAUGCCAGUCAUAGCAGAGGUAAUGCCAUCCUUGACAGAGGACGUGUAAUCUGUAUGGAGUCACUGGGUCCCAGGAAAGACAAGCAGCAUAGGAGAAGAAAUAAGGAAUAAAGGAAGAUGGCUGCCAUCAGGAGCAAUGAAAGCAGAGAUUAUAAGGAAUGAUGAGCAACUCUAACACCGGAACAAAGAGCAUGAAAUGAAUAGAUAUGAAAUAAAAUUUUAUGUCUUCUGG